UGGGGAAUAUUGGACAAUGGGCAAAAGCCUGAUCCAGCCAUGCCGCAUGAGUGAAGAAGACCUUUGGGUUGUAAAGCUCUUUUAGUGAGGAAGAUAAUGACGGUACUCACAGAAGAAGUCCUGGCUAACUCCGUGCCAGCAGCCGCGGUAAUACGGAGAGGGCUAGCGUUAUUCGGAAUUAUUGGGCGUAAAGGGCGCGUAGGCUGGUUAGUAAGUUAAAAGUGAAAUCCCGAGGCUUAACCUUGGAACUGCUUUUAAAACUGCUAACCUAGAGAUUGAAAGAGGAUAGAGGAAUUCCUAGUGUAGAGGUGAAAUUCGUAAAUAUUAGGAGGAACACCAGUGGCGAAGGCGUCUAUCUGGUUCAAAUCUGACGCUGAGGCGCGAAGGCGUGGGGAGCAAACA
rnacentral:rRNA from 1 species